AGCUCCAAUAGCGUAUAUUAAAGUUGUUGCGGUUAAAAAGCUCGUAGUUGGAUUUCUGUCGAAGACAACUGGUCGCCACACAUGUGGAUGCAUCUGGCUUGUUUUUGACAUCCUCCUGGAGAACGUUUCUGUCCUUGAUUGGAUGGUGCGGUAUUCAGGACUUUUACUUUGAGGAAAUUAGAGUGUUCACGGCAGGCUUUCGCCCUGAAUACAUUAGCAUGGAAUAAUAAUAUAGGACCUUGGUGCUAUUUUGUUGGUUUCUAGAACUAAGGUAAUGAUUAAUAGGGAUAAUUGGGGGCAUUCGUAUUGACUCGUCAGAGGUGGAAUUCUUAGAUUGGGUCACGACGAACUACUGCGAAAGCAUUUGCCAAGGAUGUUUUCA
rnacentral:rRNA from 1 species